GGCUAACGCUGGCGGCGCGCCUAACACAUGCAAGUCGAACGAAACCUUCGGGGUUAGUGGCUGUCGGGUGAGUAACGCGUGGAUAAUGUGCCUCUUUGCUGGGGCUAUCGUUCCGAAAGGAACGUUAAUAACGAAUGUGUUUGUUUGGCGGCAACGUCGAGCAACUAAACUGUUAGGGUGAAGAGUGCAGUCCGGGUUCUAUAAGCUCGUUGGGGAGGUAACGACUAACGAAGGCUACGGCGGAUAACUGGUCUGAGAGGACGACCAGUCACACUGGAACAGAGGCACGGUCCUGACACCUACGGGAGGCAGCAGGGAGAAUACUUGCACAGUGGGCGAAAGCCGGAUGCAGCGACGGCGCGUGAGGGAGGACGGCCGGCGGGUUAUAGACCUCUGUCAGUAGGAAGGGAGAAUGACGGUACCUACUGAGGAAGCUUCGGCUAACUACGUG
rnacentral:rRNA from 1 species